rnacentral:tRNA from 1 species
UCCUGUUUACAGACAAGCGGUUUUGUGAACCGAAGGUCGGGGGUUCAAUCCCCUCAGCCGGCACCA